GACAGAGGAGGCGAGCGUUAUCCGGAGUUAUUGGGCGUAAAGGGUACGUAGGCGGCUGGUCAAGUCUGGGGUUAAAGACCACAGCUUAACUGUGGGGGGGCCUUGGAAACUGACCGGUUGGAGUGGGGCAGGGGUUGCGGGAAUUCCCGGUGUAGCGGUGAAAUGCGUAGAUAUCGGGAAGAACACCUGAGGCGAAAGCUUGCAACUGGGCUCUAACUUACGCUGAGGUACGAAAGCUAGGGGAGCGAAUGGG
rnacentral:rRNA from 1 species